AAUUCGAUUGAGUUUGAUCAUGGCUCAGGACGAACGCUGGCGGCGUGCUUAACACAUGCAAGUGGAGCGACGAACCGGGCUUCGGCCCGGGGCAGAGCCGCGAACGGGUGAGUAACACGUGGGUAACGUGCCCCGAUGAUCGGGACAACCCGGGGAAACUCGGGCUAAUACCGAAUGAGCCCUCCUGACAUAAGUCAGAUGGGGAAAGGUAGCUUCGGCUUCCGCAUCGGGAUCGGCCCGCGGCCCAUUAGCUUGUUGGUGAGGUAACGGCUCACCAAGGCUUCGAUGGGUAGCUGGUCUGAGAGGACGAUCAGCCACACUGGGACUGAGACACGGCCCAGACUCCUACGGGAGGCAGCAGUGGGGAAUCUUGCGCAAUGCGCGAAAGCGUGACGCAGCAACGCCGCGUGAGGGAAGACGGCCUUCGGGUUGUAAACCUCUUUCAGUUGGGACGAAGCUUCGGCGGUGAAUAGCCGUUCGGAGUGACGGUACCUUCAGAAGAAGCCCCGGCUAACUACGUGCCAGCAGCCGCGGUAAUACGUAGGGGGCAAGCGUUGUCCGGAAUUAUUGGGCGUAAAGCGCGUGUAGGCGGCUCGGUAAGUCCGCUCUGAAAGUCCGGGGCUCAACCCCGGGAGGCGGGUGGAUACUGUCGAGCUAGAGUCCGGAAGGGGCGAGUGGAAUUCCU
rnacentral:rRNA from 1 species